GCUCCCAGCUGUCAGCACAGAGGCCGACGUGGGGCUCGAACCUGCGAACCGUGACAUCAUGACCUGAGCCGAAGUCAGAUGUUUAACCGACUAAACCACCCAGGCGCCCUGUACCUACUCCCUUUUCUUGAACUGCACAUUUGGAAAGCAUAUACUGGAGGGCUGGCUCCGUGUCUCUGAACUGAUCACGUUUAAAAUGUGAUCGAAGAAAGUGAAUCGGGCAGCAGUCUGCCUGCUCUCAGAGCGUGUUGUGUCUGGGCGUCCAGCAGCACCGGGAGGAGUGGUUUCACACCUGAAGAGGCCCAGGAAUGAGUCUGGGGGCAAGGAGGAGGCACCCACCGAGGUCGGCACCAGGCUCAGAUGGGUCUCAGGCCCCCUUCCCAUAUGCGUGUGAAGGAAAGGAUUUUGUUCUGGAGGCUGAAGGCUCAGACUGGGGUCUCACUGUGCUGCUCGCCAGCUCUGUGGCCUCUGGCAGUGAGUGUCGUUGAGGGGCUGGAGAGAGCUCACCAUCCCUGGGUUCUCGUCAUCUGCUAGGAAUGGUUCCCGACUCUCCAGCUCCUCUUCGCACAGGCCUAUGAAGCAAGGGCUGGUCUUACUCCCACUUUCCAGACAAGGAAGCUGAGGCCCAGAGAGGUUAAGGGAUUUGUCCGUGGUCACACAGCUGGCAAAGUGUAGAAACAGCAUGGGAAGCUGUCAGAGCAAAUACACUCUGAGUCUUUUGCCUCUGAGAAUAAAGGAUGGGAAGGCAUAGCCCCUUGUCCGCGUGGUGCCCAGGCUCUGUCCCAGCUUGAAAGUCUUGUGGUUCUGUUAAGGGACAUAAGGAGAAGAGAUGAUUUCCACAGUGGUUUGGAUUUGCAUUUUUAUGUAUUACAGGAUCCCGUUGAUUUAUCAUUGUUAGCGGAUCUGAUUAUAUUAGGGUAUCUUAGAUGUGCUUUGUAGAAAGUAAUACAUCUCAGACUCAAAGACAAGGAAUUUAUGGAUUCAAGUGCCAGAGUGAAGGUUUAUUUCAGUUUUGAAAGAAUUAUUCUUGAUGGAUUUUACAAAAUGAGGUGGAGAAAUGAUUUGAUGUGCAGAGUGAGGAGUCGUGGGGCAUUAUGCAGAUGAUUGGCAAUUUAUUCCAAGCACGAGGCAAAUCUAUUGGAAGUGAGAGCCGCACAGCUGGGGAGGAGGGUUGGGCUGUGGUGGUGGGCGUUUGGUAUUUGGGGAGUGAAUGAUUAACAGUGCACUGAGGGUAAUUAGGCGAAGGCGAGGAGAGAAUGGGUGGUGCGCGUGCGUGCGCGCGUGUGUGUGUGUGUGUGUGCAGAGCUCAUCUGGGUCCGUCUUCGUUUGACAGGGGCCCAGAGAGGGGAACACACUGGUCCCGGGGCACACAGUGAGGUCAGGUGGUCGUGUGGACUCGGAGCCUCGUGUGGGAAGUGUUCUGAUGCUUCUCUCUCUGGACACUGUUUGCUCCUCUCCCUUCCCACCUUUUGUGUAUUUUCGGUCCGGGGAAAGUUCCUGAUCAUCUCAGUCGUCCCAGGGGUGGGAGUGAGGGCCUCAGGCUGGCCGACAGCGGGGCUGCCGAGCCUCUGGGAAUUGCUGUGAGAUCCUGAGCUGGAACCUUCUCUUCGUGGGAAGUGAAGGUUGUUGUUGUUUUUUUUUUUUUUGACACUCCUCUCCCCCAUAUGAAAGCUGCAACGUUUCCGAGGCCAACACAUGAGACAUUUCCCACUUUCCGUUUGCUUGCCAGAAGGGCCUUGCAAGCUUUCUCCUUGCAGAAAAAAACCCUGGGUUGCAGGAGGAAUAAGCAAGGGAGACUGUGGCAGAACCCAAACUGUGUCGUCUGCUCUUUGAAAACUUCAUUCCGUUGAACUUUAACAGUUCCCUGUACCCGGGGCAGGGCCGUGUGCCUGCCAGAUGCUGACCGGGAGAAAACAGUGCCGUGUGAAGGUGCAGACUCUGUCCUCAGGGAACCAGCCUCAUCCAGUCUCAUCCGGUGUCAUUAAGGGAAGAAUAGAGCAAUUUGGGAAAAUGCUUUUAAUGUAAUUGAAAAAUGCAGAUUGCAAAAUUGGCCCGGUUAGGAAUUGAGACAGUCUAGUAAAUUAUUUCUUGCUGCUUUUAAAACCUGGACACAGAAGACUCUUAAAGGCACCCAUCUAGUGCCCAGUGAUGGCUUUGUCCUCUUGAUUAAAAAAAAAAAAAAAAAGUUAUUUUAGAUUGAACUUAGUUUUAUCAUAAAAGUAGUCAAGUUUGGGGAAAAAAUCCAAAAAAAGUAGAAAUGAAAAAUGUAAUUGUAGGUCCUCCACUCAAGCAUAACAACUGUGCAUGUUUUGUAAGCAGCUUUCCUUUCAGUAUUUUUUUCCCAUGAGCAUCGGCUGGUUUUAAUUACACUGUAGGUACUUUGUUUUUGUAAGCAGCAUUUAAAAAUUACGUGACGGUUAUUCCCCCCCUGCAAACUGCUAGUAUUUUUACCCCUUAAAAGGAGAGGUGGGUAAGUCAGUCCAGCCUCCCAGCCCUUCCUCUCAGCUUCUGCUGUCUCUGCUCAGACAUCUCUUCCAGAUGGAGACCCCCGAAUGGGAGCGGUGGGGUGGGGUGCAGGGGCGAGGGCACCGGGGUAUGGUCAGAAGUACAUGUGAGGGAUGCCAGGGGUGUCAGCCCAGGACCCCGGAAGCCUGCCUUCACACAGCCUCCCUCCGGCGGGCUUCCUCAGGUUUCUCGACGGGACAAGAUCAAAGAGAACACGCCUCAAGUCCCUCCCCACGUGCUGUGACCCAGGCUGAAAAGCAGGAGGACCGAUGGCCGUAGGCACCUGGCAACAAAGUGGCCCUAGCCGGGGCUCCUGGUGCUGCUUUCAGGCCCGUCUUCCCUCACUCGGGGCUUUCUGUGGGUCCGGGGCAGGCAGUGCCCGCCGUGAUGAAUGUGUGCUCAGUGCCAGGGAUCGAUUGGUAUAUUAAGAAGCAGCCCUGCUUUGUGACGCUCCCCCACACUGAUGCCGGCUACUAAUGAUUUAAAACGACCUUCUUCCCAUCCAGCUUAUUCCGCAGGGCACGGGUGCACCACGGCCGCCCCAACCUUUCCUCAAAAAUGAAAUGUUGUUUUUGACCAUGAAAGAAAUACAUGUACGCUAUGGAAAACACAGGAAGGUAUAAAGGAAAAAAUUGUCCAUUAUCUCUGCACCCAGAGGCAACGACUGUAGACUUUUGGUGUAUUUCCAUCCAGUCUUUGAAAAUAAAAGGCAACGUGGUUGAGUUCCAA